UUGCGGCAACGAUUGGAUCGCGGUUCACCGAUUCUGCGGGAGCAUGCCUCGUCAAAAACUGAUCGGGUCUCCGAAGAAAAUUUCAUGAAACGACAUAGGAACAACAGUUUUAUCGCCGCCGCGGAUCUCGAUCGACGGUCUUUCUAAGAACCAGACGACUCUGUAUAUUUUCCAGAUAGGCGGCCGCUCGAUCUGGAGUCGCGAUCCCUCCGCGAUAUCUCCGGCCUUGAUCGAAUAAUGAAUUAUUCGAUUAGCAACGAUUCCUUUGAGGCGCCCUGCGCGACGCACCGGGAAAAGAUCAUUGUAUAAUGCAUCGGAACAUUAUCUCGAUAUAAUGCAAGGACUCCGCUCGUUUCAGGGUUUUAAUUCGAACGCGCUUUAAUAAUUCCAGUCUGCGAUCUACUUUUAGUCGCCGAUGAAUAUUUGAAACGCUCGUUCGAGGUGCGCGUUCGUGAUCAUUAUUUGUUCCUGCGACAAUGUGACAACAUUUUAUUUUAUCCUUGGCCACGGUAAAUCAUUCCGAUUUUUAUCAGACGGUUCGAGAGAAUGGACAUGUGCACGGGGAUCUGGAGAGUUAUUAUUAGACUGCGGACUUUAUGCAUUUGUGACAAAAAUGGCUAGCCGACAUUCGAGACGUUCCUGUCGAAAUGCCAGGGCGCCGAGGUGACCGAAGAAAGGAGAACACGAUUUCUUCGGAAUAAACCGGUCGCGCGACCCUUGUGCGGCUCUUUCCUGGGCGUGGAAACUGCGGUGAACAAAGCGACACAGCGAAACAAGAAUUUUGGCCCAGGUCCAAACUUCUCUGUGAAAAACAUCGCCGGACAAAGACGCCGGCCGUUAACACACAAGCGAGAAUUUGCAUAAUCCUGUCAGCUCGAGUUCCUCGGACCUCGCGUUUCGGCGCGGAAGUCAUAAGAACGCAUCUCGAAUAAUUUUGCACGCCGUUUUAAUCAACCUUCAAUUAUAAAGCGUGCACUCUCUGCAAAUUGUCUUGGGAUCUUAAUGUGUCCAGGGAAUUUAUUUCGGAUCACCGUGGACUCUCGCAAGAUUUAUAAAUAAAUUUUGCACGUUCAAUUUGCACAAGUUAAAAAUGUACGAAGUACUCCAGGCGAAGUUGACGCACUUUAUAAUACACUUUGCAAAUUUAUAAAUAAAGUUGACCUCUGUAGUUUAUGCAUGUUAUGGCAUACUUUUAUUAUUAAAUUUGAUUGAUAACAUGA